rnacentral:rRNA from 1 species
UUCAAAUUGAGAGUUUGAUCCUGGCUCAGGAUGAACGCUGGCGGCGUGCCUAAUACAUGCAAGUCGAACGCUUUGUGGUUCAACUGAUUUGAAGAGCUUGCUCAGAUAUGACGAUGGACAUUGCAAAGAGUGGCGAACGGGUGAGUAACACGUGGGAAACCUACCUCUUAGCAGGGGAUAACAUUUGGAAACAGAUGCUAAUACCGUAUAACAAUGACAACCGCAUGGUUGUUAUUUAAAAGAUGGUUCUGCUAUCACUAAGAGAUGGUCCCGCGGUGCAUUAGCUAGUUGGUAAGGUAAUGGCUUACCAAGGCGAUGAUGCAUAGCCGAGUUGAGAGACUGAUCGGCCACAAUGGGACUGAGACACGGCCCAUACUCCUACGGGAGGCAGCAGUAGGGAAUCUUCCAC